UACGAAGGGAGCUAGCGUUGUUCGGAAUCACUGGGCGUAAAGCGCACGUAGGCGGACGUGUCAGUCAGGGGUGAAAUCCCGGAGCUCAACUUCGGAACUGCCUUUGAUACAGCACGUCUUGAGUCCGGAAGAGGUGGGUGGAAUUCCUAGUGUAGAGGUGAAAUUCGUAGAUAUUAGGAAGAACACCGGUGGCGAAGGCGGCCCACUGGUCCGGUACUGACGCUGAGGCACGAAAGCUAGGGUAGCGAACGGG
rnacentral:rRNA from 1 species